AUUGAUUCUUGGCCUUUUGGCUAAGAUCAAGUGUAGUGUCUUUGUGUCUUAAGAAGAGGAGAGAUGCCAGGUAAUGGUGGUGCACACCUUUUUAAAAUUUUAUUUAUGAUUAUUUAUUUUUGUUUUUCGAGACAGGGUUUCUCUGUGUAGCUUUGCAACCUGUCUUGGCACUCGAUUUGUAGACCAGCCCGGCCUCGAACUCACA
rnacentral:snRNA from 1 species